rnacentral:lncRNA from 10 species
CCCGCUUAGUUCCCGGAUAAAAGCAGCCCGGCCGCACCUGCCUUGCCAGUGCAAACUCUGCAAGACUCCCAACGCCAUCAGCCCUAGUCUGAUUGCAGUCGCCUGUUCACAGCCCCGAAUCAUUCACAGCGCCAAUUAGCCCGGGCUGGGUCCUCCGGCAGAGCGGGGGCGAGCGCGCGGGAGUCCAUUUCCAGCGCCCUGACGCCAGCUGAGUCCCGCGCCCGGUAACGCGGGCUUUCAAGGGCAAGGCCGCCGCCGCGUCCCUCCGUGUCAGCGCAUUUCCCUUUCUUCCCCGCUUCAAGAACAACUGAAGUGUGGGUAGGAGAGCCAUUUAGUCCCAACUAAAGACGAAAAUGUUUUUUCCUUCUGAUAAUGUUCCCUGUUCCGUCACUCGGUAUUAUGCUCCAUAAUGUGCCGCGUGCAGCCAUUUUGUCAUCGCUUUGGGUCAUCCUUGCUCACAAUUGGUUAUUUACUCAGGGGCUUUUGAAAUUAUUGAGUUGACACAUCUGUCAGACGGCAAAAGCAGAAAUGCUAAAAGGUCACUUGGAGAGAAACCAGCUGCUCCAGACAAACCUUUCUGCCUCCAAAUAGCACAAUCAUUACAGCCUGGCAGAUGGGGCCUUCGCUUUCACUUCAGACGCUCCCCUUGCCUUCAGGUAUUUAGCUACCCUACCUCAUUGCCAGGUCAGCCGGGCCUCCCUGUAAUUACCCACACAAUAGGCAUCUCUCUGCUUAAGAAGAACAGCUCUAUUUUCUCUAAAUAGGAAACCAGUUUCCUCACGGAUAUGAGCUACCCAACGCUUGCCACAAACUUUCCUGUUAACAGAUUCGUUUUGACAGUGAAAGCAACAGCCCACAAUUGCCUGCAUUUUCUUUCCUCUUCAAAACCACUUCUGCUCCAAAGACCAUGAACCUGAACUGAAGAAACGACUCCUUCCUGCUGGUGUGAGAUAAUUCAGUCUCCAUGAUGUCUUAAUCCUGGGCCUCCCUUAAUUGACUUCUAACUGUGCUGAACUGUGGCUGCUAGGAGUUGCAAUGUGGAUCGCAAUUUACAAGGAAGAGAAAAAGACCGGUCUCUGUUUGGAAAUUACAAACAUAGAAGAACUUAGAAACAAUGGGUUUCUAGAUUGGGUGGAAGGACUGGCUUGGGAUCCUGAGAGAGCAAGAAAAGUUUACCGGGAGCUUCAGAAAAAGUUAUUCAUCAUUUUUGGAGUGGAUAUUCAGAAGUGACUUCCCUCUUUUGCUCUGGUAGGUAUGGAUAUGAGACCUCAGAAACCCCAGAACUCCUCAUUCUUUGCCUGACAGAAAAGCCCACACAUGGGAAAGACAGCCAUAAAGAUCAAAAGUAGAGCCCCUGGACUAAAUUAAGAAAGCAACUUGCUCAACCUUUCCACAUCUAGUUCCGUGAGCAAUCCAUUUCCUCAUGUCCAAAACAGCUUGACUGGGGGUUUCGGUUACUUACAGCCCAAAGCACACCAACUGGUAUGGUCAUCAGAAUUUAAGGCUUUUAAGUACUUAAAAUUCUGAUUUUAAGGA